CACGUCCGGAUGAAAAGGGAAUCGGGUGCGAAUCCCGGACAGUCCCGCUGCUGUGAGCUCUGUAUGUACUUUCCGAAUUCUGUCGGUCACUGACGUUCUGCGUCGGGAAGGCCUCGGAAAGAAGAGCGAGUCAGAAGACCUGCCGCAAUCGUUU
rnacentral:ncRNA from 1 species